rnacentral:miRNA from 1 species
AGGACAGAUAUUGAUUUGCUGA